rnacentral:rRNA from 1 species
CUGGCGGCGUGCUUAACACAUGCAAGUCGAACGCGAAAGGGACUUCGGUCCUGAGUAAAGUGGCGCACGGGUGAGUAACGCGUAGAUAACCUGUCUUCAUGUCUGGAAUAAUACGCCAAAGGGGUACUAAUACCGGAUAUUCUUGCUUUUCAUAAGUUAUGCAAGCAAAGGUGGCCUCUGCAUAUGCUACUGCAUGAAGAGGGGUCUGCGUACCAUUAGCUAGUAGGUGGGGUAAUGGCCUACCUAGGCGACGAUGGUUAGCGGGUCUGAGAGGAUGAUCCGCCACACUGGCACUGGAACACGGGCCAGACUCCUACGGGAGGCAGCAGUGAGGAAUAUUGCGCAAUGGGGGAAACCCUGACGCAGCGACGCCGCGUGAGUGAGGAAGGCCUUCGGGUCGUAAAGCUCUGUCAAGAGGAAAGAAGUGUACAAUGGCUAAUACCUGUUGUAUUUGACGGUACCUCUAAAGGAAGCACCGGCUAACUCCGUGCCAGCCGCGGC